rnacentral:rRNA from 1 species
CAGCAGCCGCGGGAAUACGUAGGGUGCAAGCGUUAAUCGGAAUUACUGGGCGUAAAGCGUGCGCAGGCGGUUAUAUAAGACAGAUGUGAAAUCCCCGGGCUCAACCUGGGAACUGCAUUUGUGACUGUAUAGCUAGAGUACGGCAGAGGGGGAUGGAAUUCCGCGUGUAGCAGUGAAAUGCGUAGAUAUGCGGAGGAACAUCGAUGGCGAAGGCAAUCCCCUGGGCCUGUACUGACGCUCAUGCACGAAAGCGUGGGGAGCAAACAGGAUUAGAUACCCCAGUAGUCCCUGUCUCUUAUAC